UAUCCUAAGAGAUUUUAAUCAAAAAACUUUGACGGUAUUAAUAUUUAUAAAGGAGUUUGUUUUUUAAUAGAUAACCCACAAUUUACCUUACUUAAAUUAUAUUUGUAUAUCACCGUAUAGAUUUUAUUUAAAAUUUCAUAAUGAAUAAUUUCAAAAUAUCAGGUCAUAACGCAGUUUUUUUAAGAUAAAAUGAACUACAGUAAUUUAUUAUAAACAGAUUAUUUUUUGAAAUAAAAAUAUGAAGAAGGAUUUAUUAGUAAAUAAAAAAUAAAUUAUUAUAUUGAAAAUUAUUAUUAAUAUGUACAUAUCGCCCCGUCAU
rnacentral:rRNA from 1 species